rnacentral:rRNA from 1 species
GACGAACGCUGGCGGCGUGCUUAACACAUGCAAGUCGAACGGAAAGGCCCUGCUUUUGUGGGGUGCUCGAGUGGCGAACGGGUGAGUAACACGUGAGUAACCUGCCCUUGACUUUGGGAUAACUUCAGGAAACUGGGGCUAAUACCGGAUAGGAUCUCCUGCUGCAUGGUGGGGGUUGGAAAGUUUCGGCGGUUGGGGAUGGACUCGCGGCUUAUCAGCUUGUUGGUGGGGUAGUGGCUUACCAAGGCUUUGACGGGUAGCCGGCCUGAGAGGGUGACCGGCCACAUGGGGACUGAGAUACGGCCCAGACUCCAACGGGAGGCAGCAGUGGGGAAUAUUGCACAAUGGGCGGAAGCCUGAUGCAGCAACGCCGCGUGCGGGAUGACGGCCUUCGGGUUGUAAACCGCUUUCGCCUGUGACGAAGCGUGAGUGACGGUAAUGGGUAAAGAAGCACCGGCUAACUACGUG